CACGUAGGCUGUUCCGUCAAUCAGAUGUGAAAUCCCUCGGCUUAACCGGGGAACUGCAUUUGAUACUGCGGGACUUGAGUGUCGGAGAGGGUGGCGGAAUUCCAGAUGUAGGAGUGAAAUCCGUAGAUAUCUGGAGGAACACCAGUGGCGAAGGCGGCCACCUGGACGACAACUGACGCUGAGGUGCGAAAGCGUGGGUAGCAAACAGGAUUAGAUACCCUGGUAGUCCACGCUGUAAACGAUGGAUGCUGGGCGUCGGGGGUUUACCUUCGGUGCCGCAGUUAACGCGUUAAGCAUCCCGCCUGGGGAGUACGGUCGCAAGGCUGAA
rnacentral:rRNA from 1 species